rnacentral:lncRNA from 1 species
CAACAUUCUCAUUGGAGUUUCAACAGCAAAGUCCACUGCAAAUGCUUCAUCCACAGACAUACACACAAAUAAGUAAGGUUUACCUGACAAUAAAAUUAUUCUUAAUCCUAAUGUUAACUGAAAAAUUUUAAUAAUCCUACAAGCAAAGAUUUUAUUUCGAAGAUAUUUUCCUCCAUAUAAAUGCAUUCACUUCACUUCUCAAUCUCUGUAGAAUAUUUACAUCUUCCUAUGCACACACACAAAUUAUAAAACAAAUACAUGUUCAUUUUUUCUCAGCUGGACUUAUUAAUCUAAAAAGCACAUACUGUAUAUAUUAAACUUCAUUACUGUACAUAAACAUGUAUUAAAGUGUUGGUGUCGUUUUGAGACAGAUAAAGAAGCUACAUGGCUGAUACCGCUGGUUUCCACUGCUGUUGGUGUCAUUUUAUGUGGAUUCCUCUGUCUCUGCUGGUUUGCAAGUAAAAGAAGAAGAAACAAGGAUAAAAUGAGAACGAUGAACCCCGAUGUGCCCAGUCAAGGAAUCGGUAUAGUGAGUAUCUAUUCAUUAACAACCUUAAUAUAAAUAAAAUAAUAAAA